rnacentral:siRNA from 1 species
CGGAGGUGAUGUUGUUGAAGUGU